AUUGAACGCUGGCGGCAGGCCUAACACAUGCAAGUCGAACGAGUGGCGAACGGGUGAGUAAUGUGGGGGAAACUGCCCGAUGGAGGGGGAUAACUACUGGAAAAGGUAGCUAAUACAGCAUACCAUCGGAUGUGCCCAGAUGGGAUUAGCUAGUAGGUGGGGUAACGGCUCACUUAGGCGACGAUCCCUAGCUGGUCUGAGAGGAUGACCAGCCACACUGGAACGGAGACACGGUCCAGACUCCUACGGUAGGCAGCAGUGGUGAAUAUUGCACAAUGGGCGCAAGCCUGAUGCAGCCAGGCCGCGUGUAUGAAGAAGGCCUUCGGGUUGUAAAGUACUUUCAGCGGGGAGGCGUUACUCGCAGAAGAAGCACCGGCUAACUCCGUGCCAGCAGCCGCGGUAAUUC
rnacentral:rRNA from 1 species